AGCGAACGCUGGCGGCAGGCUUAACACAUGCAAGUCGAACGGUAAGGCCCUUCGGGGUACACGAGUGGCGAACGGUGAGUAACACGUGGGUGAUCUGCCCUGCACUUCGGGAUAAGCCUGGGAAACUGGGUCUAAUACCGGAUAGGACCACUGCCUGCAUGGGUGGUGGUGGAAAGCUUUUGCGGUGUGGGAUGGGCCCGCGGCCUAUCAGCUUGUUGGUGGGGUGAUGGCCUACCAAGGCGACGACGGGUAGCCGGCCUGAGAGGGUGACCGGCCACACUGGGACUGAGAUACGGCCCAGACUCCUACGGGAGGCAGCAGUGGGGAAUAUUGCACAAUGGGCGCAAGCCUGAUGCAGCGACGCCGCGUGAGGGAUGACGGCCUUCGGGUUGUAAACCUCUUUCAGCACCGACGAAGCGCAAGUGACGGUAGGUGCAGAAGAAGGACCGGCCAACUACGUGCCAGCCGCCGCCGUAA
rnacentral:rRNA from 1 species